CUUGUUCCUGGGGGCACCAGCUUGCUAAAAAGCCUCUUUCUUUGGUCAUUGUCAUAAACUCCGGCGGAAGAACCGCGGUGGCGCCGGAAACAAGGUUAGGCCUAAUGACCCACAAAAAAUUUUUGUUGCUAUUAGCAAGUCCCCAAGCAAUCUCUACCAAUUUUUCUCUUGACAAUCGCGCUUCCAAAAUUCAUGUAAAUAACCGAGUUGGGUUCUUUUGAGUCGAGCCAGUCGAGACAUCCAGAUUCUUCUUUCCAUAAGUUUGAUCCAAUGGACUUUAGCCCACUAUCUUUCACCUUAUUGAGGAGAAGUUGAAGGGAGCCGAUGGAGUAUACAUGAGGCAAUUUUGGUAAUGAAGAAAGUGCAGCUAAAACCUCAUGCUCCAACGCAUCAA
rnacentral:misc_RNA from 1 species